rnacentral:rRNA from 1 species
UACGUAGGGAGCAAGCGUUGUCCGGAAUCAUUGGGCGUAAAGCGCGCGUAGGCGGCCCGAUAAGUCCGCUGUAAAAGUCAACGGCUCAACUGUUGAAAGCCGGUGGAUACUGUCGGGCUAGAGUACGGAAGAGGCAAGUGGAAUUCCUGGUGUAGCGGUGGAAUACGCAGAUAUCAGGAGGAACACCCAUAGCGAAGGCAGCUUGCUGGGACGUUACUGACGCUAAGGCGCGAAAGCGUGGGGAGCGAACAGG